rnacentral:rRNA from 1 species
AUUGAACGCUGGCGGCAGGCCUAACACAUGCAAGUCGAGCGGAGCGGCGGCCGGGUGAGUAAUGCCUAGGAAUCUGCCUGGUAGUGGGGGAUAACGUCCGGAAACGGGCGCUAAUAUCGCCUACUAUCAAUUGAGCCUAGCUCGGAUUAGCUCGUUGGUGGGGUAAAGGCUGACCAAGGCGACGAUCCGUAACUGGUCUGAGAGGAUGAUCAGUCACACUGGAAAUGAGACACGGUCCAGAAGCCGACGGGAGGCAGCAGUGGGGAAUAUUGGACAAUGGGCGAAAGCCUGAGCCAGCCAUGACGCGUGUGUGAAGAAGGGCGUCGGAUUGUAAAGCACUUUAAGUUGGGAGGCGUUACCAACAGAAUAAGCACCGGCUAACUUCGUGCCAGCAGCCGCGGUAAUAC